rnacentral:rRNA from 1 species
UACGAAGGGGGCUAGCGUUGCUCGGAAUUAUUGGGCGUAAAGGGUAGGUAGGUGGUCUCAUUUGUCUGGGGUGAAAGCCUUGAGCUUAACUCAAGAAGUGCCUCAGAAACGGUGAGACUAGAGUACUGGAGAGGGUCGUGGAAUUCCCGGUGUAGCGGUGAAAUGCGCAGAUAUCAGGAGGAACACCGGUGGCGAAGGCGGGUCUCUGGGCCGAUACUGACGCUGAGGAGCGAAAGCGUGGGGAGCGAACAGG